UUUGCACUUGGAGAACAUCUAGAGAAGAGAAGAGGAGAGAAGAGAAGAGGCGAGAAGCUCUGCUGAAACGAAGAGCAGAGUUGUCACCAUCUUCGAUCUGCCAUCCGUCCGCGAGGUUUUCUGUUGUUCCAGCGAGUUCGAGCCUUCAAGGUUCCUCUGUGCACGAAGCUGUAUUGCAAGAUCUCUCUCUCUCUUUCUCUUUCUCGUUCUCUUUCUCUUUCUCUUUCUCUUUAUCUCACUCUCAUUCCCUUUCUUUCUUGAUCUCUUCUCCCUCUUCCUCUGUGCCUUCAUCUCUGAAAAAUCUAAACUUUUUCACUCUCUGUGGGCCUUCUUCUCCUUCAACAGCACUGUUCUUAACAUCUGGACUAUUGUAAAAUUUGGAAUCACUCCUCGUUCUGGGGGAAGCGGGGUAUUGAGAAACAACCUUUUCAACUUCCUGAUUUCAUUGAUGCCAUUGGGAUUGAUAAACUAAGAUAGGACAGCAGUACUUUGGAUUUACCACUGAUGCAUGCAGCAGCUAUGAGAAUCUUUUGUGAUGGGCCUGAUGGCACAUAUGACCCAUGAUCAAGCAACUCAGCCACAGGAUAGAUAAAAAAUUAUGCUAACAAGGUUCUGUUAGCAGGCACAGAUCCAUAUCGCACUUCAGAUUCCUGUGGUGGUGGGGGCCUUGGCAAUCUGAGUUGCAUGUGAAGGAAGUGCAGGUGCUUAGGUUGCAAAGAGCAUUGUGGAUCUGAUAUUCUGAGAUGAUUAAGAUAAUUGGCCAUGGAAUAAAACCUCUGCUUAAUAUGUUUAAUGUUUAUUUGGUGUAAUAUGUUUCACAUAACUUCAACCAUGAUGUUCACUCAUUGACAACAUGGGGGAACAAUAAUAUGAGUGUGAAGUUGUUUGAACCUGGUAGUAGUAUGCAUGCCUGUAAUAAUCUAAUUGAGAUAGGAGUAGAUAUGUGUUAUUUGUUGGGUGAAUGCUGUGAAAUACAUAGUAAAUUUUCUGCUGCCAUCUUGGUUAGCCUGACAAGGAAAUAAUAUAGAUUCAUGCUACAA